rnacentral:lncRNA from 1 species
AUGUUUUUCUCCCCAGGAGAUGGAAGCAAGGCCACGUCUAAGUACAGCGGAAAGUGUAGCUGUGGGUUUUGGGCUGCAGAAGAGAGGAUGGGACUGGGACUGGUUAGGGAGCUGCAGCCUGGGUCAGCCAGUCUGGACUCAGGGACUCUCAAGGAUAGUAACACUUAGAGAAACCAAGUGUCUCUCCCUUCAACACCACAGCCUUGCUACGCUGCUAGUGACCAGGAACUCAUUCCCACAGCAGGAUGGAACAUUGUCUUUUGUGCUUUUCUUUACUUUCCCCUCUGCAUCUCAAUUCUGUAUGCAGUGACAGGACGGCAUUGUCCUAGGCCCCAGGAAAUCUCUCCAGACCUCCAAAUACUGAAUCCACAUGGAUAAAUCGUGUCCUCUGUGAGCUUGUAGAGAGAUCGCCUUUUUUACUGUCUUAUGCCUAUGUAUGCAUUGCUUGGCAAGCAUGCAAUGAAAACCGAAAAUCAGAUGAAUCGUGGGAAAGGAAUCUGCUGUAACCCAAGCAUGUUGAUCAAAACAAAAGCCCAUUAGUUCUCUUCCCCCUUGACAACCAAACUCCUUUUCCUGUGUAUGUUACAUUAAAAAACAUCAUUAAGUAGCUAGGUAUGGUAGUGCAUACCUAUAAUUUUAGGACUCAGAAGGCUGAUGUAGGCUGAUCUUGAGUUUGUGCCCCGCCUGGCUACAUAGCAACUUCCAGAACAGUCUCAAUUAUGUAUAGAGAUUGUCUAAAAGCUAAAACAAAUUCUAAUCAAUGGGUAUAGUUGGAAUUCAUCUAAAUAAAUCAAUGUGUUGAUUUAUUAAUGAA